GAAUUCACUAGUGAUUCAGGCCUAACACAUGCAAGUCGAGCGGUAGAGAGAAGCUUGCUUCUCUUGAGAGCGACGGACGGGUGAGUAAUGCCUAGGAAUCUGCCUGGUAGUGGGGGAUAACGUUCGGAAACGGACGCUAAUACCGCAUACGUCCUACGGGAGAAAGCAGGGGACCUUCGGGCCUUGCGCUAUCAGAUGAGCCUAGGUCGGAUUAGCUAGUUGGUGAGGUAAUGGCUCACCAAGGCGACGAUCCGUAACUGGUCUGAGAGGAUGAUCAGU
rnacentral:rRNA from 1 species